GUUUCGUUUAAGUUUGAUUUGGGCCCGUAUCACUAUUAUUCGUUCAAGAUAGAAUAAAAGAGUUAUAAGAAACUAUGAAAAACAACACAAAUGAGUUCACCAUCUCGCUCCGUGCAAUUUCGAGCGCUAACGGCCAAUUCGAAUCACCCCAAGCAAUUAUACCGACAAUCGCUCCAGUCCGACAACCAAACAGCUGUCAUUCGUAGUUUGCUUCCCACAGAGCGGACCGCACACACACAUUCUCGCUCAAGCCUUAGUCAGCGGGAGGCAAAAAAGAAGUCCCGUUGGAGUGAACUGGCAAACGGCUCAUUCCGAACCGACCGCCAUCGUGAAGUGUGUUAAAAAGAACGCGCCGCGGGUGAAAAGUUUUUGGGUCCUACGGAAGUGGGAGCAACGAGAGCAUUUAAAAGGAAGGAUACCGUUUCCCAGCUCAGCAAGGGCAUUCCCGUUAAGGUGUAGAUUGCUCUCCACGUCAAAAGCACGUCCGCGAAAAGGACGCGUCGAGUCGCGCAGAACCACGUGCGAAGAUCCAUCAGGGAACCGGUUUGGUUAGGCCUGGCUGGGACCGCAGGAAGCCGUGCUCCUCAGAGCAGUAUUGCAUCAAGAAAACGGUCGGGGUUCGACGAACCGACGCUGGCUGAUUCGAACGGAGCAAGGCUCGAUCCACGAGGCGAUCACAACGAGGUUAGGAUCGGCGUCCAAAAUCAGAUCCCAUCCGAUAUCGUCGUCCGGAAGCUGUGGCCGCACAAGUAACACUUUCAGAAAGCGUACUUCCGUGAAGGAAACGGGCCUCCUCGACAGAGUUAGUUCCGUGGACUGAAUACUAGGCGGUCAAAAGUCGGCAUCCGUUGGCGGAGAUUACGCGGAGACACAAGCGCGUCCAGAAACGAGUCCUUUUGUGCUUUCCAGACAGAGCGACAGCGAUCGGAACGGCGGUGUAGGAGAGGACGUUUCUUGGAUCGGAGUCGUGACAGGGCGAAUGUUCAUCGACUAAUCACGAGAGCGGUCAGAUCUGAGACGCAAUAAUCGUCAGUUGGAACACUACACGAUCAUCGGCCGCUGCCCGCCCGGACCUAGGCGGCGAAUCGGCACGAAAUCGGUCAAUACGGUACCUUCCUGGACGAG